CUACGUUGUCUUGAAACUAAACAGAGGAAUUUUGUGUUACCUCUGGUCUGUCUGUAGCCUGCAUUUAAAAUGUAUUUGUCUAAACUUGAGCAACAUCACAUUUGAAACUAUUUCAGGAGUGAGUUAGUCUGCACCAGUGUUACCUGAGCUGCAGAGCAUUUCACAACAGUUCCUGGCCAGGUAUGUUUGAAGUCAAGUUAUGGCCAAGAUCAUUAAAAAGCAGACUAUGAGACAGUACCUUUUAAAAUUCCAGGUCAGAGUGAACAGACCAGUUUGGGAGGCAGUAGUGUACGUAGUACAUUUGUGUCCGAAGGACCUCAGCCACACUGGGCGUUUCUGAGAUAGGCAUUUUGUGAUUGUGAGGCCUGUUUCUUUGCAGUGUAAUUAAUAGAUUUCACUGUGAUGUGGGGGCAGACCAGCAAGUUACCAGAAGAGGGUGUAGCAGGAGUAAGCUGAAGCAUGAACACCCAUGUGCUGACCAGUACCUGCCUGCCUACGUGCACUUGCCACUCAGUGGAAGAGGGUGCUGCCUAGAAACCUGAGGCUCACAGUGCUCCAAGCUGGAAAUACUCCUAAGAAGAUUGUCUCUGUCUCAGAAAUCUUAAACAAUAAAUAAAAGACAAAAAUUUAAGA